GUUCUCUGACUCAACACGCAAGAGAAAAACAUACAGGGUAAAUGUUGAGCGCUGGAGAAAAAGGAAGCCUUCCAAGAAAGGCAUCUAUGUGUCACCAAUAAAGAAGAGUUUCCCAUUCAGGACAACAAAAGUGGCUCCAGUCAAAGGACGCAAACCAGG